UACGUAGGGUGCAAGCGUUGCCCGGAAUUAUUGGGCGUAAAGGGUAGGUAGGUGGUCUCAUUUGUCUGGGGUGAAAUCCUUGAGCUUAACUCAAGAAGUGCCUCAGAAACGGUGAGACUAGAGUUCUGGAGAGGGUCGUGGAAUUCCCGGUGUAGCGGUGAAAUGCGUAGAGAUCGGGAGGAACACCAGAGGCGAAGGCGGCGACCUGGACAGAUACUGACACUCAACUACGAAAGCGUGGGGAGCAAACAGG
rnacentral:rRNA from 1 species